rnacentral:lncRNA from 1 species
UUUAAGUCUUUAACCUCUUGUAUAACUGUCACUUUGUGUCUGUAUCUGACAGGAAGACUCCUAAUAAUCUUCUUGACAUGAUCAUAUGUAGUGUAGCUCUUGUUCAAAACUUGAAGUUCAUAUACAAGAACUUGAAACCUAGAGAACAUGGUUUCAAUGUCUUCAUCCUCCAUCAUUCGGAACAACUCAUAUUGUUGAACCAG